UACAGAGACUGCAAGCGUUAUUCGGAUUCACUGGGCGUAAAGGGUGCGCAGGCGGUUGGGUGUGUCAGAUGUGAAAUCCCGAGGCUCAACCUCGGAACUGCGUCUGAAACUACUCGACUAGAGUACUGGAGAGGGUAACGGAAUUCACGGUGUAGCAGUGAAAUGCGUAGAUAUCGUGAGGAACACCAGAGGCGAAGGCGGUUACCUGGACAGUUACUGACGCUCAGGCGCGAAAGCUAGGGGAGCGAACAGG
rnacentral:rRNA from 1 species